UUUUUAACUAUUUUAUAUUCUAAAAUUCAAAAGAAAUAAAAUUGUUCAUCUCAUGCCCUACCCACCUACGGUUUCUUCCUCACAAUCUUUCCCCUCCCCAAAUUAAAAGCCCUAGCAUUCUUCCUCACCUCCUCUUUCGCCGGUGCCGUCAACCACCACCGCCUCCUCCAUCACGCCGGCAAGCACUCUCUCUCGCUCUCUCUCUGUAAUUGUUCAUUUCAUCUCUGUCAGCUUUCGCUUCCGCACCCGCCGCUGUUUCCGCUGGCCUCUGUUUUUCGAGGUUAAUUCCAGAGCUGCUCUGCUUCGAGAUUGAGGAUGGAGUUUGAUUGAGUUUGAUUGUUUUCUCCACCAAAAGAAAACUCUUCUAGUUCUCCUCUCAUUCAAGGCAAUAGGUUGACAGUGAUAUUAUUAGCUUCAUGUAAGAUGAUCUUCACUCUUGUUCUCACAUUGAUUAAAAGCACAUAAAUUCUGCAAUAUAACUUAAUUUAUGAGAAUCAGUGAUACUUGGAGUUGCAAUCCUUGUCUUAAUUGGCGGUUGCAUAUUUUGUCUCACAGUGAUACCGAGAUUGAAGGCUAAAUGAGCUCAAGGUGAUCACGCAGAACUUCUCGUCGAGUAAUUUCCUUGGUGAAAGUGGCUUCGGCCCGGUCUACAAGGGCUUCAUCGAUGACAAGAUGCGCCCCUGGUUAAAGGCCCAGCUCGUCGCUGUUAAGCUCCUCGAUUUGGAUGGAUCACAGGGCCACAAAGAAUGGUUGAAGUGAUUUUUCUUGGUAAAUUAAGACAAGCUCAGUUGAUGAAGUUUAUCGGACACUGUUGCGAGGAAGAACACAAGCUUUUGGUAUAUGAAUACAUACAAAGAGGAAGCCUCGAAAACCAGCUUUUUAGAAGUACAGAGAAGCUAUCAAAAUGUCAGAUUCUUGUAGCCAGAAUUUUAGCCAACUUUUUCACCAGAGAAAUUUGAAGAGUGCAAUAUGUUGCUGACAACGUACUCUAAUUUUCUUUUCGUUUGGAGAUAGUUAGUACUAGGAUUUAGAGCUAUUUUCAUAGCAUAUAAGAUAACAACUAUUGGUUUUAAGUCUUUUAGUUUAUUUAUUAUUUAUAAUUGUAACAAAAUUCGAAUAGAUGUUUGAAAUGAUUAUAAUAUUGAUGUUUAUAGUUAAA